rnacentral:rRNA from 1 species
UUGGCGAACGGGUGAGUAACGCGUGAGUAACCUGCCCUAGAGUGGGGGACAACAGUUGGAAACGACUGCUAAUACCGCAUAAGCCCACGGUACCGCAUGGCACUGAGGGAAAAGGAUUUAUUCGCUUUAGGAUGGACUCGCGUCCAAUUAGCUAGUUGGUGAGGUAACGGCCCACCAAGGCGACGAUUGGUAGCCGGACUGAGAGGUUGAACGGCCACAUUGGGACUGAGACACGGCCCAG